rnacentral:rRNA from 1 species
CUGCUCAGUAACACGUGGAUAACCUACCCUCAGAUCUGGGAUAACUCCGGGAAACUGGAGAUAAUACCGGAUAAUCCGUGAACGCUGGAAUGCCUUACGGUUGAAAGCUUUAGCGUCUGAGGAUGGGUCUGCGGCCGAUUAGGUAGUUGCUGGGGUAACGUCCCAACAAGCCGAUAAUCGGUACGGGUUGUGAGAGCAAGAGCCCGGAGAUGGAUUCUGAGACACGAAUCCAGGUCCUACGGGGCGCAGCAGGCGCGAAAACUUUACACUGCGCGAAAGCGCGAUAAGGGGACCUCGAGUGCGUGCGCAAAGCGUACGCUUUUCAGAUGCCUAAAAAGCAUCUGGAAUAAGGGCCGGGCAAGACCGGUGCCAGCCGCCGCGGUAACACCGGCGGCUCAAGUGGUGGCCGCUAUUAUUGGGCUUAAAGGGUCCGUAGCCGGACCAGUUAGUCCCUUGGGAAAUCUUACGGCUUAACCGUAAGGCUGCCAAUGGAUACUGCUGGUCUUGGGACCGGGAGAGGCAAGAGGUACCUCAGGGGUAGGAGUGAAAUCCUGUAAUCCUUGAGGGACCGCCAGUGGCGAAGGCGUCUUGCUAGAACGGGUCCGACGGUGAGGGACGAAAGCUAGGGGCACGAACCGGAUU